GCAUAUCAAUAAGCGGAGGAAAAGAAACCAACAGGGAUUGCCCUAGUAACGGCGAGUGAAGCGGCAACAGCUCAAAUUUGAAAUCUGGCUCUUUCAGAGUCCGAGUUGUAAUUUGCAGAGGGCGCUUUGGCUUUGGCAGCGGUCCAAGUUCCUUGGAACAGGACGUCACAGAGGGUGAGAAUCCCGUACGUGGUCGCUAGCUAUUGCCGUGUAAAGCCCCUUCGACGAGUCGAGUUGUUUGGGAAUGCAGCUCUAAAUGGGAGGUAAAUUUCUUCUAAAGCUAAAUAUUGGCCAGAGACCGAUAGCGCACAAGUAGAGUGAUCGAAAGAUGAAAAGCACUUUGGAAAGAGAGUCAAACAGCACGUGAAAUUGUUGAAAGGGAAGCGCUUGCAGCCAGACAUGCUUGCAGUUGCUCAUCCGGGCUUUUGCCCGGUGCACUCUUCUGUAGGCAGGCCAGCAUCAGUUUGGGCGGUGGGAUAAAGGUCUCUGUCACGUACCUCUCUUCGGGGAGGCCUUAUAGGGGAGACGACAUACCACCAGCCUAGACUGAGGUCCGCGCAUCUGCUAGGAUGCUGGCGUAAUGGCUGUAAGCGGCCCGUCUUGAAACACGGACCAAGGAGUCUAACAUCUAUGCGAGUGUUUGGGUGUCAAGCCCGAGCGCGUAAUGAAAGUGAACGGAGGUGGGAACCCGCAAGGGUGCACCAUCGACCGAUCCUGAAGUUUACGGAAGGAUUUGAGUAAGAGCAUGGCUGUUGGGACCCGAAAGAUGGUGAACUAUGCUUGAAUAGGGUGAAGCCAGAGGAAACUCUGGUGGAGGCUCGCAGCGGUUCUGACGUGCAAAUCGAUCGUCAAAUUUGGGCAUAGGGGCGAAAGACUAAUCGAACUAUCUAGUAGCUGGUUCCUGCCGA
rnacentral:rRNA from 1 species